GUCUAUGGUCAUGCCACCAUGAACAAGCCCAAUCCUGUCUAAUCUCGGAAGCUAAGCAGGGUUGGGCCUGGUUAGUAUUUGGAUGGGAGACCACCUUGGAAGACCAGGUGCUGUAGAUG
rnacentral:rRNA from 1 species